AUUUAAAUAGCUUAUAUAGAGCUUUAUAUUGAAGCUAUAAGGGAGAUUUUUAAUCUUUAGAUA
rnacentral:tRNA from 1 species